rnacentral:rRNA from 1 species
GACGAACGCUGGCGGCGUGCUUAACACAUGCAAGUCGAACGGAAAGGCCCUGCUUUUGUGGGGUGCUCGAGUGGCGAACGGGUGAGUAACACGUGAGUAACCUGCCCUUGACUUUGGGAUAACUUCAGGAAACUGGGGCUAAUACCGGAUCGGAGCCCCUGCUGCAUGGUGGGGGUUGGAACGUUUCGGCGGUUGGGGAUGGACUCGCGGCUUACCAGCUUGUUGGUGGGGUAGUGGCUUACCCAGCCUUUGACGGGCAGCCGGCCUGAGAGGGUGACCGGCCACAUUGGUACUGCGAUACGGCCCAGAGUCCUACGGGGGGCAGCAGUGGGGAAUAUUGCACAAUGGGCGGAAGCCUGAUGCAGCAACGCCGCGUGCGGGAUGACGGCCUUCGGGUUGUAAACCGCUUUCGCCUGUGACGAAGCGUGAGUGACGGUAAUGGGUAAAGAAGCACCGGCUAACUACGUG